rnacentral:rRNA from 1 species
UACGGAGGGAGCUAGCGUUGUUCGGAAAUACUGGGCGUAAAGCGCACGUAGGCGGCGCAGCAAGUCAGGGGUGAAAUCCCGGGGCUCAACCUCGGAACUGCCCUUGAAACUGCAGUGCUAGAAUCUUGGAGAGGCGAGUGGAAUUCCGAGUGUAGAGGUGAAAUUCGUAGAUAUUCGGAAGAACACCAGUGGCGAAGGCGACUCGCUGGACAGGUAUUGACGCUGAGGUGCGAAAGCGUGGGGAGCAAACAGG